rnacentral:rRNA from 1 species
GCUUGUCUCAAAGAUUAAGCCAUGCAGGUGUAUGUAUACACAACUUUAUACUGUGAAACUGCGAAUGGCUCAUUAAAUCAGUUACAGUUUAUUUGAUAGUACCUUACUACUUGGAUAACCGUAGUAAUUCUAGAGCUAAUACAUGCACAAAAUCCCGACUUACGAAGGGAUGUAUUUAUUAGAUACAAACCAACAUCGUGGUGAUUCAUAAUAACUUUGCGAAUCGUAUGCCUCACGGCGACGAUGAAUCAUUCAAAUUUCUGCCCUAUCAACUUGGCUACCACAUCCAAGGAAGGCAGCAGG